AGUAGAGACAGGGUUUCACCAUGUUGGCCAGGAUGGUCUCAAUCUCUUGACCUUGUGAUCUGCCUGCCUCAACCUCCCAAAGUGCUGGAAUUACAAGUGUGAGCCACCGCGCCCAGCCCCAUUUCUUAUUUGGUCUGGCCAUCUUCUAAAGAGUUUGAACCUACUGAAGAACUAUCUUGACUGUCUUGAUGAGGGAGCUGAAGAAAUCCUUCACUGGAGUCUGAGCGGAAGUGGAAUCUAUUUUCCUUCUUCUUGAAUUUGGAAUGCUUUUGGCCAAGAGAAAGAGGUGGAAGUGAUGGUGUAACAGUUCCAAGUCUAGGCCUCAAGUUGCCUGUGGACUUCCACUCAGACUCUCAGAGCCCUGCUGGAGGAUGGAGAGACCACAUGGAACAGAGAAGGGUUAUCCCACCGAGGCCACCAUAGACCAGCCAGCCCUCAGCGUACAUGCCAGCUAAUUACAGAUGCAGGAGCAAACCCCUGGCCCAUACAUCAAUUUUAAUGUCAUUGAAUACAGAGAACAAAUCUCAUUCACUUUGGUAUCGGCUGGAGUCAACAAACAUUUAAAAAUCAUUUACUGCGUCUGAUUUUGGGAUUUUGGAAGCAUUGCCUUCUACAGAAUCCACAGUAGUCCGAAGCUCUUCUACGGUUUUUGUCAAACUUUGAUUUUCCAUCUCUAGCUUCAAUAAUCUACUUGAUGUCAACUCAUUCACCUCAUGGCCCAGGGAUUUCUGGGGUGCUAUAAUAUUGAAAAAUACACCAUUGUAUUUACUCUUUACUGUUUUUACUAUGUUUACUCUUUACUAUUUAAAAAGUUGAGUGUAUAUGCAUUGCAUCAUCUGAUCCUUAACUUUAUUAAAAAUUCAAUGAGGUUAUAUAAGAUAAACAAGAUAAAAGAAGUAAAUCUUUUUUUUCCUUUUCUUUUUUUCUUUUUUUUAAAGAGACGGGGUCUCUCUCUGUCACCCAGGCUGGAGUGCAGUGAUGUGCUCCUAGCUCACUGCAGCCUCAAACGCCUGGUCUGAAGGGAUCCUCCCACCUCAGUCUCCCAAGCGGCCGGGACUGCAGGUACAGCCAGCUAAUUUUUUUAUUUUUUAGUAAAGACUGGGUCUCUGUUACUUAGGCUGGUCUCGAACUCCUGAGCUCAAGCAAUCCUCCUGCCUUGGCCUCCCAAAGUGCUGGGAUUACAGGCAUGAGCCGCUGCACCCAGCUAAGAGAUACAUGUUUAACUUUUAAUGCAUCCACAGCAUUCUAGUUAAAAAAAGCAUAAAAUUUAGAUUGAAGAAAUUGGAGUUCAAGCAGACCCAUUAAAUAUUUUGCUGAUAUAAGAACAUUAGGAUUUACAAAUGAAAUAUGAGACCUACUAUUUCAAGAAAGGAAAUGAAUAAAGGUACUGGAGAGAAU
rnacentral:lncRNA from 1 species